rnacentral:rRNA from 1 species
UACGGAGGGUGCGAGCGUUGUUCGGAAUUACUGGGCGUAAAGCGCGUGCAGGCGGCCGACUAAGUCAGGUGUGAAAGCCCGGGGCUCACCUCCGGAAGUGCGCUUGAAACUGGUCGGCUAGAGUACGGGAGAGGGAAGCGGAAUUCCUGGUGUAGCGGUGAAAUGCGUAGAUAUCAUCAGGAACACCGGAGGCGAAGGCGGCUCACUGGGGCUUUUCUGACGCUGAGGAACGAAAGCCAGGGGAGCGAACGGG